UGGGGAAUAUUGGACAAUGGGCGAAAGCCUGAUCCAGCAAUGCCGCGUGAGUGAUGAAGGCCCUAGGGUUGUAAAGCUCUUUUACCCGGGAAGAUAAUGACUGUACCGGGAGAAUAAGCCCCGGCUAACUCCGUGCCAGCAGCCGCGGUAAUACGGAGGGGGCUAGCGUUGUUCGGAAUUACUGGGCGUAAAGCGUACGUAGGCGGCUACUCAAGUCAGAGGUGAAAGCCCGGAGCUCAACUUCGGAAUUGCCUUUGAAACUAGGUAGCUUGAACGUCGGAGAGGUGAGUGGAAUUCCGAGUGUAGAGGUGAAAUUCGUAGAUAUUCGGAAGAACACCAGUGGCGAAGGCGGCUCACUGGACGACUGUUGACGCUGAGGUACGAAAGCGUGGGGAGCAAACA
rnacentral:rRNA from 1 species